rnacentral:rRNA from 1 species
UACGAAGGGGGCUAGCGUUGCUCGGAAUCACUGGGCGUAAAGCGCACGUAGGCGGACUCUUAAGUCGGUGGUGAAAUCCUGGAGCUCAACUCCAGAACUGCCUUCGAUACUGGGAGUCUCGAGUCCGGGAGAGGUGAGUGGAACUGCGAGUGUAGAGGUGAAAUUCGUAGAUAUUCGCAAGAACACCAGUGGCGAAGGCGGCUCACUGGUCCGGUACUGACGCUGAGGAGCGAAAGCGUGGGGAGCGAACAGG